GAUGAACGCUGGCGGCGUGCCUAAUACAUGCAAGUCGAGCGAACAGACGAGGAGCUUGCUCCUCUGACGUUAGCGGCGGACGGGUGAGUAACACGUGGAUAACCUACCUAUAAGACUGGGAUAACUUCGGGAAACCGGAGCUAAUACCGGAUAAUAUAUUGAACCGCAUGGUUCAAUAGUGAAAGACGGUUUUGCUGUCACUUAUAGAUGGAUCCGCGCCGCAUUAGCUAGUUGGUAAGGUAACGGCUUACCAAGGCAACGAUGCGUAGCCGACCUGAGAGGGGGAUCGGCCACCCUGGAACUGAGACACGGUCCAGACUCCUACGGGAGGCAGCGGUAGGGAAUCUUGCGCAAUGGGCGAAAGCCUGACGGAGCAACGCCGCGUGAGUGAUGAAGGGCUUCGGAUCGUAAAACUCUGUUAUUAGGGAAGAACAAAUGUGUAAGUAACUAUGCACGUCUUGACGGUACCUAAUCAGAAAGCCACGGCUAACUACGU
rnacentral:rRNA from 1 species